rnacentral:rRNA from 1 species
GUAGGUGGCAAGCGUUGUCCGGAAUUAUUGGGCGUAAAGCGCGCGCAGGCGGUUCUUUAAGUCUGAUGUGAAAGCCCACGGAUCAACCGUGGAGGGUCAUUGGAAACUGGAGAACUUGAGUACAGAAGAGGAAAGCGGAAUUCCACGUGUAGCGGUGAAAUGCGUAGAGAUGUGGAGGAACACCAGUGGCGAAGGCGGCUUUCUGGUCUGUAACUGACGCUGAGGCGCGAAAGCGUGGGGAGCAAACAGGAUUAGAUACCCUGGUAGUCCACGCCGUAAACGAUGAGUGCUAAGUGUUAGGGGGGUUUCCGCCCCCCUUAGUGCUGCAGCUAACGCAUUAAGCACUCCGCCUGGGAGUACGGCCACAAGGCUG